rnacentral:rRNA from 1 species
GUGCCAGCAGCCGCGGUAAUACGGAGGGAGCUAGCGUUGUUCGGAAUUACUGGGCGUAAAGCGCGCGUAGGCGGCUUUGUAAGUUAGAGGUGAAAGCCCGGGGCUCAACUCCGGAACUGCCUUUAAGACUGCAUCGCUUGAAUCCAGGAGAGGUGAGUGGAAUUCCGAGUGUAGAGGUGAAAUUCGUAGAUAUUCGGAAGAACACCAGUGGCGAAGGCGGCUCACUGGACUGGUAUUGACGCUGAGUGCGAAAGCGUGGGGAGCAAACAGGAUUAGAUACCCUGAUAGUCA